CUAUACAGCCAUAUCAACCGCCAGCCCAAGUCCAGUUACUCACUAAAGUUAAGCAGGGCUGAACCUGGUCAGUACCAGGUUGGGAUGGAAGACCACAUGGGAAAAUUAGGUUGCUGUUGAAA
rnacentral:rRNA from 1 species